rnacentral:rRNA from 1 species
UACGUAGGGUCCGAGCGUUGUCCGGAAUUAUUGGGCGUAAAGAGCUCGUAGGCGGUUUGUCGCGUCUGCUGUGAAAUCCCGAGGCUCAACCUCGGGCCUGCAGUGGGUACGGGCAGACUGGAGUGCGGUAGGGGAGAAUGGAAUUCCUGGUGUAGCGGUGGAAUGCGCAGAUAUCAGGAGGAACACCGAUGGCGAAGGCAGUUCUCUGGGCCGUAACUGGCGCUGAGGAGCGAAAGCGUGGGGAGCGAACAGG